rnacentral:misc_RNA from 1 species
CUCGGCGAAUGGCGCCCCUUAUCCCAUCGUACCCGCCAGAUGGCGCGGCGCCAGUGGCCCCGCGGAUGCGGCCUCAUCUCCCCGGCGCGGUUUAGAUUUCCCUGGGCCCCGCACCCCUCUCGUGGCACAGUCACAUACUUUCCGCGCCUCUUCUUCUGCGCCCCUCUCCUCCCAAACUGCGGAUAGAGCAGCGAGCCAUCGACACGAUCGCGAGCGCAAGCACGUACGUUGUCGGAAGCUCAAGUUAGAAGAAGCACCAGUGCCUGAUCGAUGGCGGCCCAGGCUCUCCUCUCCGGCCGGCAGCUGCUGGGCCGCCCCGUGCAGUCGGCCGUCUCUAGGUCGUCGGCGAGGAAGGCGCCCUUCGUCGUCAGGGCCAGCUCCAGCCCUCCAGCCAAGCAAGGUGCCGACAGGCAGCUGUGGUUCGCGUCCAAGCAGUCCCUCUCCUACCUCGAUGGCACGUACGUACCUGCGCUCGUUGCCCGCCCCGCGCGCAGCAAACCUUCUGCUAGCGACGAUAGAAACCCUAUGCUCACCUGCCUCAUUGUUGCUGCUGCAUGCAUGCAUGCAGGCUGCCCGGCGACUAUGGCUUCGACCCGCUGGGCCUCUCGGACCCGGAGGGCACCGGGGGCUUCAUCGAGCCCAAGUGGCUGGCCUAUGGCGAGGUGAUCAACGGCCGCUACGCCAUGCUGGGCGCGGUGGGCGCCAUCGCCCCGGAGAUCUUCGGCAAGAUGGGCAUCAUCCCCCCGGAGACCGCGCUGCCGUGGUUCAAGACGGGCGUCAUCCCGCCCGCGGGCACCUACAACUACUGGGCCGACUCCUACACGCUCUUCGUCUUCAACAUGGCGCUCAUGGGCUUCGCCGAGCACCGCCGCCUCCAGGACUGGUACAACCCGGGCUCCAUGGGCAAGCAGUACUUCCUCGGCCUCGAGAAGUUCCUCGCCGGCUCCGGCGACCCGUCCUACCCCGGCGGGCCCCUCUUCAACCCGCUCGGCUUCGGCAAGACCGAGAAGGAGAUGAAUGAGCUCAAGCUCAAGGAGAUCAAGAACGGCAGGCUCGCCAUGCUCGCCAUCCUCGGUUACUUCAUCCAGGGGCUCGUCACCGGCGUCGGCCCGUUCCAGAACCUGCUCGACCACCUCGCCGACCCCGUCAACAACAACGUGCUCACCAGCCUCAAGUUCCACUAGAACGUGGUGCAUCAGCAUACCUGCUGCUGCCGCCGCCGCCGCCAGUUGUUUGCUGUGGAAAGCUAGAUGCAUGCGUGUUGUAAAGGAACCUGAAGCGUUGCAUCGGUCAUGAUUCAUGCAUGGCCAGCCUGCUGCCUGUAACAACAAACUAGUAUUGAUCUUAUUGAGACCGGAAACUGUAUUGCACAUGGUAAAUCAAUGUACAAUUCCUCCCUAGAUGCGGACAAAUUUCUCCUAAGGCCAUGACCAUGGUGGAUGCACGUGGGACGUAUUUGUAGCAGAAGAGAGUAUGCACUCUGUGUGUAUAUCCAACGGUGAUGCGCAUGGGAGCAUGUGUGCUUAGAGACAAAAACAACAUUGGCUUUCAUUCUGUUCUAUCACCAAUAUUUGCGGACAGUGAGAGAGAGCAAGGUCCCUUGUAAAAAAAUGAGUAUAUUUGGUGUAGCUAAAGUCCCAUGUUUUGGGGGUUUGAGGAUCUACGAACAAGUAUAGUUUACUCAUAGUACAGAAUGCUUAGAGAUUGUUUAGAGCUCUCAAGGAAGCUUCUAGCUUGAAUCUAAUAAGAAGAUGC